GGUUUACUUAUUUUAUGUGUAUGAAUUUCUUUUUCUCCUGUCCUGGUAGGAAUGAAGAUAUCCUUUGGCUACAGAGAGGACUGCAGAAGUGGUCCCCCAAGAAACUGGAAUUUCCCCAGGAAUCUCAUGCUGGGAGAAAGAAAAGGCUGAAGCUAUGCCAGCCCCGAGGACUGGAGGACUGCUGCGUUCUUUCCAUCCACAGAACUAAACACAUUAGAUGGAAAAGGGUUUCUCAGUAGCCCUGACUGUCAAAGAACUCACCCUGUAGACCAGGCUGGCCUCGGACCCAUCAAUCCACCCACAUGCCGCUGCCACCUGAAUGCAUGGGAUUAAUGACACGAACAACUCCACUGGGCGUAUUCAGAUGAUCUCAAGUGGAAAUAGAAGAACAAAAGAGGUGGCCACAAGAAGACGUCAUUGCUGAUUUGGAAGCCGAAAGAUGAGGGUAUGAGCUGGGGGCUGAGGUCAGGCUCUCACCGGCGCUAGGCAAGUGUUCUACCCUUGAGCUACAUCCCUAGCUGAGGCGGGGACUGAAGCAGAGAUCACAGGGGAACAGCACUUACUGGCAUGCUCUCUAUACAACCCAGAACCAUCCCUCUAGCGACGGCACUGCCCACACUGGGUUAUGUUUUCAGCAAUGGUGUCUUAACUAACUUAACUUAACUAACUGUGGUGAACGCCAGGAGCAAUGGCAACAACACGUGCUGUUUCAAGGGCCUCUGGGAAGACAGUUUGUUUUUGUUUUUCCAUUUAGAAAGCACAUGGAGGCAGACAAAUGGCUUUGCUGAACUUCUGAAUUGUUGUAUAGGUUCUUGUUCUUUUGUUUAGUUUUCCCUUAAGCUUUCUACUUGUAUUUAGGAGGAUAUAUUUUCUAGUUUCCUGUCUGGCAGCUCUCAAGGUUUUCUUUCUCAGACUCCGGGUAAACGAAGCCCUGGACCAUGCUUGCUGACGGCGCCUUGGCAACUGCCUCUGGGUUCAGUGCUGCCCAUGGCCUCGGUACUUGACAUUCCUCUCUGAUGGCCGUGCACCACCACACCUUGUUUAUACAGUGCUAAGUGUGAAACCUCACAUCAGUCUGGGAGAGGUGGCACAGGCCUUUAAUCCCAGCACUUGGAAGGCAGAGGCAGGCAGAUCUCUUGAGUUCAAGGCCAGCCUGGUCUACAAAGCGAGUUCCAGGGCAGCCAGGGCUACACAGAGAAACCCUGUGUCAAAAGACAAAACUAAACAACAAACCCUCCAAUAAAACAAACAAAUAAACCUUAGCACUGAAUCCAGAGAACAAUCUAUUAACUGAGCUACACAUCCAUCCUUUAGCCCAUUCCUUUCUGGAGAGCUGAACCCCUAUGUGAAAGAACCUGGUGCAGUGUUUCAGGUGUUUGUUGUGGGAACUGAGGUCACAUCCUUUGGGUGCCUCCUUUGUGGUUUUCUUUCUCUCUCUGUUUUCGUCUUAGGGCCUGUUAACAUUCAGGAUCGCAUGUGACCACAGUGUAGAGAGGUAAUUCUCAUACGAAGUUCAGCUAACUUAGGAAAUCAGACAUCAUGGGAAUUGGUGCCUGCUUUAAUGCUAAAUCCUGAGGGUUUGAGUCUGGGAAGGUCAACCCUGUAAAACAAAUCUUCAAAGUCGCCAGGCAAGGGACCACAGAAUGAGGGGAAGGUGUGGCUGUCAUUGAGGAGUGCUCCUGGGACCCUGAAGCCCCUGCAUAGGACUAUCCUGGGGUUCAGAAUCAGAUAGGUGAAUGCUGCGAAAGCUUCCACACUGUUCAUGACCUGAAUCAUCUCUGCCGUAUCCCAGAGCCCUUGCAGUUGAGUCUUCCUCUGACUGGGGAUAAUGUCUGCACACCAAGGGUGAUUGCACAAGUGAAGUUCCUUUUCUUGUGUGAUGGUUGGAAUAGGUUUGGCCCUACAGACUCCUGUGUGAAUCGUUGGCCUUAGGGUGUGGCACUGAUAGGAGG
rnacentral:lncRNA from 14 species